AUACAGAGGGUGCAAGCGUUGUUCGGAAUUAUUGGGCGUAAAGCGCGUGUAGGCGGUUUGAUAAGUCUGAUGUGAAAGCCCCGGGCUCAACCUGGGAAGUGCAUUGGAAACUGGGAGACUUGAGUACGGGAGAGGAGAGUGGAAUUCCUAGUGUAGGAGUGAAAUCCGUAGAUAUUAGGAGGAACACCGGUGGCGAAGGCGGCUCUCUGGACCGAUACUGACGCUGAGACGCGAAAGCGUGGGUAGC
rnacentral:rRNA from 1 species